ensembl:lncRNA
AUGCACUGGCUUCAGGGAAGGUAUCAGACCGCUUGUCCCAUCAACAUGUUAAGGGAAACAGAAGAAGAAAGGAACAUGUUGGUAAGAAGUUUCAGCUCUGAUUUCCCAAACUGGGAAGGACAAGAAAUGAAUGGUGAAUCACCACAAAAUGGUAGCUCAUUCUUCGCAGCUUAUGCAAAAUCGGAGGCGAUGACUGGGAGAAGAGCAGUGCAGGGAACAUAUCGGUCUGGUUUUGAGUACUCCCAAAUAUCAGGCCAGCGCAAUGGAGCAGAUGCUGAAAGAAAAAGCCAUAGGCACAUUUAAAGAUGCACUGAAAACCCAGUGCAGCACAGGAUGAGAGCUCCAGACCUCCUGAGUCCUUGCAGCUUUGAAGUGGAAGCUCCAGCUGGACAGUCCCCAGAAAAGCUUAAUCCUGCAAGAUAGGCUAACAACCUCUUCCAGCACAGGCCUAAAGGAAGCACAAGCUGCUCUACAAACACUCUGCUCUUUCCUCAUCACUGCAGGAUCCCAGCAGCUCUCAGCAGCGCGUUAAACAGCGUGCUUACCAUUUAUCAUGUGACAUUUUCCCUGUAGCUGGAGGGAGAAGUUGUAUCUGCCAGAAAAUGCCCUUUCGCUAAGCGGUAUUUUUCUUCUCAAUAUAUAGCUACAUCUUCUGCAGUUUGAACGGGAGAUAAAAGAUCUUACACUCUGGGGGACACCCCAUGUGCAAUGUGCUUCUGAUGAUGCUCCCAGCUGUGGCUGAUCCUGUGCUUGUAGCUGUAACUUGGGCAACCUGUGCCGUUUUCACAGGACUCUCAUAAAAAAUGCCAGAAUAUAUUGACUGAGCCCAUUCUGGGGCUCGACACCCAGCCUGUGUUUCUGAGCGUCGUUCUUGUGGCCGGAGCUUCGCAGCUGGGCUUCCUGGUGUGGUGGAAGCAGAGGGAUUUUUGGGAAACCUUUCAUUUGUUGCUUGCUCAAGGAUGACAGCAGGCAGGCAGGGAGUGUGUGUGUUCUGUGCCCUAAAGCUAUCGCUUUGUUACUCUGGGCAGAGAAAGAGUUCUCAGGAGAGAGGAAUAGCAACUAGAUGCUGAGGCUGACCUUCAGGCUAUGUAGGUUUGUCACAUCUGUUGUUCUCUUUCCAAAGCAAGACUCCUGGGGAGAGCUAAUGCCCUUUAUCAGACCAGCAACGCUCUUUUCAGUUGUGGACAAUGGGACCAGUGCAGUGCCUCGUGCAGAGCUCUUCCCUCUGCCUCCACCCUCUUUCUAAGAGCAAAAACGCCUGAAUGCGAUCAGAAGAAAAGAGAAAAAGGAAACAAGAUAAACUGUGUAAUCCCACUUCAAAGGCUCCUCGAGUUAGGUGGCUCUGGAUGUCCCCUGUUCCCACACGUGUCCCCGUGUACCUGCUGCGUGCAGGGCUGGGCAGAUGAGGUGCAGAGAGCAGGGGCUGCCACGUGUCCUUGCUUCCAAAGUCCUCUUGUGACAGCAUUCUGUCUUCUUUUCCUGCCUGCAUAGAAUCACAGAAUCACAGAAUUGCCAGGGUUGGAAGGGACCUCAAGGAUCAUGAAUCUCCAACCCCCCUGCCACAUGCAGGGCCACCAGUCAUCCCACCUAAUGCUAGACCAGGCUGCCCAGGGCCCCAUCCAAUCUGGUCUUGAACACCUCCAGGGAUGGGGCAUCCACAACCUCUCUGGGCAGCUGUUCCAGUAACUGCAUGCUGCAGUUGCAAUCUUUAGCUGUCUCCUGAAAGCAGCAUCAUAGGUCUGGCCCAUAACCUGUAGAUUGUUGUUGGUGUGGAUAUGGAAUCAUGUGUAAUGCCAGAGCUGGCAGGCUCCUGGGGGACCACAGCAUCACACACAUGGAGGGUGGGAGACAGGCGAACACCAGGGCUGGAGGCUGGAGAUGACUCACGUCUGCUAUCGUCUGCUUCAGCCUCAUUUCUCCACGUCUCACUUUCUUUAUCUGCAAAAUGGGAAUGGUGUUCCAUUUCACUCUGGGAGAUAUAAGUGAAGAAGGCUAGGUAGGAAUUAACAGCUUUUCCAAAUACGGCGUCGCUAAAAGCUUUUGAAGAGACAUAGAAAAAGAUUUAUAUUUCAGUAUCUGACAAACAGAAGAAAGGAUGUGUCUGUUUGAUCUGUACUUCUGCCAUGCCUUCAUUAAAGAUGUGAGACCAAUAAAUGGUGCUUUCCAAAGACCCUGAAGAAAAAA